rnacentral:rRNA from 1 species
AGAGUUUGAUCCUGGCUCAGAUUGAACGCUGGCGGCAGGCUUAACACAUGCAAGUCGAGCGGUAACAGAGAUAGCUUGCUAUCUGCUGACGAGCGGCGGACGGGUGAGUAAUGCUUGGGAAUAUGCCUUAUGGUGGGGGACAACAGUUGGAAACGACUGCUAAUACCGCAUAACGUCUACGGACCAAAGGGGGGGACUUCGGACCUCUCGCCAUUUGAUUAGCCCAAGUGAGAUUAGCUAGUUGGUAAGGUAAAGGCUUACCAAGGCGACGAUCUCUAGCUGGUUUGAGAGGAUGAUCAGCCACACUGGGACUGAGACACGGCCCAGACUCCUACGGGAGGCAGCAGUGGGGAAUAUUGCACAAUGGGCGAAAGCCUGAUGCAGCCAUGCCGCGUGUGUGAAGAAGGCCUUCGGGUUGUAAAGCACUUUCAGUUGUGAGGAAAGGGUUGUAGUUAUAGCUGCAAUCUGUGACGUUACAACAGAAGAAGCACCGGCUAACUUCGUGCCAGCAGCCGCGGUAAUACGAGGGGUGCAAGCGUUAAUCGGAAUUACUGGGCGUAAAGCGUUCGUAGGCGGUUUGUUAAGCAAGAUGUGAAAGCCCCGGGCUCAACCUGGGAAUGGCAUUUUGAACUGGCAGGCUCGAGUUUUGAAGAGGGUGGUAGAAUUUCCUGUGUAGCAGUGAAAUGCGUAGAUAUAGGAAGGAAUACCAGUGCGAAGGCGGCCACCUGGUCAAAAACUGACGCUGAGGUACGAAAGCGUGGGGAGCAAACAGGAUUAGAUACCCUGGUAGUCCACGCCGUAAACGAUGUCAACUAGUUGUUCGUGUCAUAAACGAUGUGAGUAACGCAGCUAACGCACUAAGUUGACCGCCUGGGGAGUACGGCCGCAAGGUUAAAACUCAAAUGAAUUGACGGGGGCCCGCACAAGCGGUGGAGCAUGUGGUUUAAUUCGAUGCAACGCGAAGAACCUUCCAUCCCUUGACAUCCAGUGAAUUUUCCAGAGAUGGAUUAGUGCCUUCGGGAACACUGAGACAGGUGCUGCAUGGCUGUCGUCAGCUCGUGUUGUGAGAUGUUGGGUUAAGUCCCGCAACGAGCGCAACCCACAUCCUUAGUUGCCAGCAGUUCGGCUGGGCACUCUAAGGAAACUGCCCGUGAUAAGCGGGAGGAAGGUGUGGAUGACGUCAAGUCCUCAUGGCCCUUACGGGUUGGGCUACACACGUGCUACAAUGCAGUGACAAUGGGUUAAUCCCCAAAAGCUGUCUCAGUUCGGAUCGGGGUCUGCAACUCGACCCCAUGAAGUCGGAAUCGCUAGUAAUCGUGGAACAGCAUGCCACGGUGAAUACGUUCCCGGGCCUUGUACACACCGCCCGUCACACCAUGGGAGUUGGUUCUACCCGACGGCCGUGCGCUAACCUUUUGGGGGCAGCGGACCACGGUAGGAUCAGCGACUGGGGUGAAGUCGUAACAAGGUAACC